rnacentral:tRNA from 1 species
AGGCAUUUAGUAUAAUGAAAAUAUUUGAUUUCGACUCAAAAGCUCGUGGUUUAAGUCCACGAUUGCCUA